AAACGUUUUGUUUGAAUACUCAAUAACGUAUAGUUAAUUUACAGUACAGUAUAAUAAGGUUUAAAGUAUAAUUCACUUGAAGAACAAUACCGGCGUAAUUAUACAGAACAGUCAUUUUGCCUGUUGACAUAACAGAAAUAUGCUUUACAUGUCAUUUUGUUCUAGGGAGCAGGGAGCACACAGAGGAGUUGAUAAAACUCCGUGGGCAAAAUGACCACCUCUUUACCGGGGCCAAAAACACUGCCGCAGUCGGAUGGAGAACAAUCCUGCAAAAAACGGGCCUGGAGGGUGAAGUUGAGCCACAACAGGCCAAACAAAAGUGGGACAACUUGGAAAAAAAAAUACAAAGAAUGCAAAGAUCCAGGGACAGGGGUCAGUGGGAAGCCUACUGCUGCCACCUGGCCAUGGUUUAUCCUCAGGUUCUGUGUUGCUGUUAUUGUUAAAUUAAAUUAAUAAAUUGUUUAUAAAAGUUA